AUACAGAGGGUGCAAGCGUUAAUCGGAUUUACUGGGCGUAAAGCGCGCGUAGGUGGCUAAUUAAGUCAAAUGUGAAAUCCCCGAGCUUAACUUGGGAAUUGCAUUCGAUACUGGUUAGCUAGAGUAUGGGAGAGGAUGGUAGAAUUUCAGGUGUAGCGGUGAAAUGCGUAGAGAUCUGGAGGAAGACCGAUGGCGAAGGCAGCCAUCUGCCCUAAUACUGACACUGAGUUGCGAAAGCAUGGGGAGCAAACAGGAUUAGAUGCCCUGGUAGUCCAUGCCGUAAACGAUGUCUACUAGCCGUUGGGGCCCUUGAGGCUUUAGUGGCGCAGCUAACGCGAUAAGUAGACCGCCUGGGGAGUACGGUCGCAAGACUAAAACUCAAAGGAAUUGACGGGG
rnacentral:rRNA from 1 species